rnacentral:rRNA from 1 species
UUGUUGGUAAGGUAAAAGCUUACCAAGGCUUCGAUCAGUAGCUGGUCUGAGAGGACGACCAGCCACACUGGGACUGAGACACGGCCCAGACUCCUACGGGAGGCAGCAGUGGGGAAUUUUGGACAAUGGGGGCAACCCUGAUCCAGCCAUGCCGCGUGAGUGAAGAAGGCRUUCGGGUUGUAAAGCUCUUUCAGCCGGAACGAAACGGUUACGGUUAAUACCCGUGACUACUGACGGUACCGGAAGAAGAAGCACCGGCUAACUACGUGCCAGCAGCCGCGGUAAUACGUAGGGUGCGAGCGUUAAUCGGAAUUACUGGGCGUAAAGCGUGCGCAGGUGGUUUUGUAAGUCAGAUGUGAAAGCCCCGGGCUCAACCUGGGAACUGCGUUUGAAACUACAAGACUAGAGUGUGGCAGAGGGGGGUGGAAUUCCGCGUGUAGCAGUGAAAUGCGUAGAGAUGUGGAGGAACACCGAUGGCGAAGGCAGCCCCCUGGGUCAACACUGACGCUCAGGCACGAAAGCAUGGGGAGCAAACAGGAUUAGAUACCCUGGUAGUCCAUGCCCUAAACGAUGUCAACUAGUUGUCGGGCCUUUACGGGCUUGGUAACGUAGCUAACGCGUGAAGUUGACCGCCUGGGGAGUACGAUCGCAAGAUUAAAACUCAAAUGAAUUGACGGGGACCCGCACAAGCGGUGGAUUAUGUGGAUUAAUUCGAUGCAACGCGAAAAACCUUACCUACCCUUGACAUGUAUCGAAGCCCGCAGAAAAGCGGGGGUGCCCGAAAGGGAACGAUAACACAGGUGCUGCAUGGCUGUCGUCAGCUCGUGUCGUGAGAUGUUGGGUUAAGUCCCGCAACGAGCGCAACCCUUGUCAUUAAUUGCCAUCAUUUAGUUGGGCACUUUAAUGAGACUGCCGG